ensembl:rRNA 5S_rRNA 5S ribosomal RNA
GCUUACGGCCAUACCACCCUGAACACGCCCGAUCUCGUCUGAUCUCACAGCUAAGCAGGGUCGGGCCUGGUUAGUACUUGGAUGGGAGACCGCCUGGGAAUACCAGGUGCUGUAAGCA